rnacentral:lncRNA from 1 species
CAGGAGCUUGGGGGAGUAUGUGCCCCUGGAAAGCACUAGAGCCAUGCCAGCGUUCAGUGAGCUCUGUGAGGUGACAGGAAGCUCCCGAGGCCAGGCCUAGGGCUUCUGGUGCGUGGGCAGGGGAGCGGAGACAGCUUCCUCUUUUGAAAGGUUGGCAGGAGCGAAGUGGAGGCUGACGGAUGUAGGAGAAGAUCUCAUACAGGCUGGGGGGCAAGUGUGGGUGCCCUGAGGUGCCCAGGGAGGGAAGCGUAAGGCAGGGCAGACCCGGGAGGGCCACGAGUGCCAGGCGAGGAGCAUGGUGGCUUCCGGCCUGAGGGUGAUACGGCCAUGAGGGGUUUAAUGGGUGGGGCAGGGUCAGCUCAGGGGGCCCAGAUAUGGGGGGAGCCCAGCCUGGGAGCAUCUGGGGACACUUUCUGGAAGACGUGAGUACUACAGCACUAAGAGUUUGCUAGAAGGGCAGGAAUGAAGGGCCCUCUCAGUACAAAGGUGUGAAGACGGUGGUGAACUGUGCGGGGAAGGUGUGAAGACGGUGGUGAACUGUGUGGGGAAGGUGUGAAGACGGUGGUGAGCUGUGCGGGGAAGGUGUGAAGACGGUGGUGAACUGCGUGGGGAAGGUGUGAAGACGGUGGUGAACUGCGCGGGGAAGGGGUGAAGACGGUGGUGAGCUGCGUGGGGAAGGUGUGAAGACGGUGAACUGUGUGGGGAAGGUGUGAAGACGGUGGUGAACUGUGCGGGGAAGGUGUGAAGACAG